rnacentral:rRNA from 1 species
GUGAACGCUGGCGGUAGGCCUAACACAUGCAAGUCGAACGGCAGCACAGUAAGAGCUUGCUCUUACGGGUGGCGAGUGGCGGACGGGUGAGGAAUACAUCGGAAUCUACUUUUUCGUGGGGGAUAACGUAGGGAAACUUACGCUAAUACCGCAUACGACCUACGGGUGAAAGAAGGGGAUCUUCGGACCUUGCGCGAUUGAAUGAGCCGAUGUCGGAUUAGCUAGUUGGCGGGGUAAAGGCCCACCAAGGCGACGAUCCGUAGCUGGUCUGAGAGGAUGAUCAGCCACACUGGAACUGAGACACGGUCCAGACUCCUACGGGAGGCAGCAGUGGGGAAUAUUGGACAAUGGGCGCAAGCCUGAUCCAGCCAUACCGCGUGGGUGAAGAAGGCCUUCGGGUUGUAAAGCCCUUUUGUUGGGAAAGAAAAGCAGCAGGUUAAUACCCCGCUGUUCUGACGGUGCCCAAAGAAUAAGCACCGGCUAACUUCGUG